rnacentral:rRNA from 1 species
UACGGGGGGGGCAAGGCGUUGUUCGGAAUUACUGGGCGUAAAGGGCGCGUAGGCGGCCUGGCAAGUGGAAGGUGAAAUCCCUCGGCUUAACCGAGGAACUGCCUCCCAAACUGCUUGGCUUGAGACCAGGAGAGGUGAGUGGAAUUCCCAGUGUAGCGGUGAAAAUGCGUAGAUAUUGGGAGGAACACCAGUGGCGAAGGCGGCUCACUGGACUGGUACUGACGCUGAGGCGCGAAAAGCGUGGGGAGCAAACGGGG